AAGGAGUCGUCUUCGUAUGCGAGUGUUCGGGUGUAAAACCCCUACGCGUAAUGAAAGUGAACGUAGGUGAGAGCUUCGGCGCAUCACCGACCGAUCCUGAUGUUCUCGGAUGGAUUUGAGUAAGAGCAUACGGGGCCGGACCCGAAAGAAGGUGAACUAUGCCUGUGUAGGGUGAAGCCAGAGGAAACUCUGGUGGAGGCUCGCAGCGGUUCUGACGUGCAAAUCGAUCGUCAAAUAUGGGCAUGGGGGCGAAAGACUAAUCGAACCUUCUAGUAGCUGGUUUCCGC
rnacentral:misc_RNA from 1 species